UGGGGAAUUUUGGACAAUGGACGCAAGUCUGAUCCAGCCAUGCCGCGUGCGGGAAGAAGGCCUUCGGGUUGUAAACCGCUUUUGUCAGGGAAGAAACGAGUUUCUCUAAUACAGAGACUUAAUGACGGUACCUGAAGAAUAAGCACCGGCUAACUACGUGCCAGCAGCCGCGGUAAUACGUAGGGUGCAAGCGUUAAUCGGAAUUACUGGGCGUAAAGCGUGCGCAGGCGGUGAUGUAAGACAGAUGUGAAAUCCCCGGGCUCAACCUGGGACCUGCAUUUGUGACUGUAUAGCUAGAGUACGGUAGAGGGGGAUGGAAUUCCGCGUGUAGCAGUGAAAUGCGUAGAUAUGCGGAGGAACACCGAUGGCGAAGGCAAUCCCCUGGGCCUGCACUGACGCUCAUGCACGAAAGCGUGGGGAGCAAACA
rnacentral:rRNA from 1 species